rnacentral:rRNA from 1 species
GACGAACGCUGGCGGCGUGCUUAACACAUGCAAGUCGAACGGAAAGGCCCUGCUUUUGUGGGGUGCUCGAGUGGCGAGCGGGUGGGUAACACGUGAGUAACCUGCCCUUGACUUUGGGAUAACUUCAGGAAACUGGGGCUAAUACAGGAUAGGAGCUCCUGCUGCAUGGUGGGGGUUGGAAAGGUUCGGCGGUUGGGGAUGGGCUCGCGGCGUAUCAGCUUGUUGGUGGGGUAGUGGCUUACCAAGGCUUUGACGGGUAGCCGGCCUGAGAGGGUGACCGGCCACAUUGGGACUGAGAUACGGCCCAGACUCCUACGGGAGGCAGCAGUGGGGAAUAUUGCACAAUGGGCGGAAGCCGGAUGCAGCAACGCCGCGUGCGGGAUGACGGCCUUCGGGUUGUAAACCGCUUUCGCCUGUGACGAAGCGUGAGUGACGGUAAUGGGUAAAGAAGCACCGGCUAACUACGUG